ensembl:snRNA U2 U2 spliceosomal RNA
ACUCCUUCUCAGCCUUUUGGCUAAGAUCAAGUGUAGUAUUUCUCUUAUCAGUUUAAUACCUGAUAUGUUCUCUAUUCGAGGACAAUAUAUUAAAUGGAUUUUUGGAACUGGGAGAUGGAAUAAGAGUUUGUCCCAUCCACUCCAUGUAUCGACCUGGUAUUGCAGUACUUCCAGGAAUUGUGCACCCCCC